AUGGUGGGCGUGCUGCUCCUCCUCCUCCUCCUCAAGCCGGCGUCGGUGUCGGCGAUCGGCCACGUCUGCGGCAGCGCCGGUAACUACACGGCCAAAAGCACCUACCGGUCCAGCCUCGCCGUGCUCAACGCUACGUUCCCCGGCAACGCCUCCUCCUCCCCGCAGCUCUUCGCCACCGCCACCGCCGGUGUGGUGCGCGCGCUCGCGCUCUGCCGCCGUGACACCACAAACCUCACCGCGUGCAGAGAGUGCGUCGCCUCCUCGUUCAAGUACGCGCAGAAGAUGUGCCCGAAACACAAGGCCGCAACCGUCUACUACGACUACGACGAGGUAAAUGUCACGCGGCCAGGGUGCCUCCUCGGCUUCUCCGGCGACGGCGGCUUCCUCAGUCCGGGAUCCAGUGUCAUCUGGAACGAUACGUUCUUCCAGUUCUUUAACCCGGUGCAAAUCCCGGGCAAGGCCGGGGUUGUCGCUGCCGCCGUCCGCCAGCUCCUGAGGCAGACGGCGCGGUACGCGGCCGGCACGGCGAGGAGGUUCGCCACAGGGUCCAUGGACUCCAUUGGCAGUGCCGCACCGACACUGUACUCCCUGGCGCAGUGCACGCCUGACCUGUCCGCCGGCGACUGCCUGGCGUGCCUCCGGCGGCUUGUCGACACGCUCAACGCUACAAACUCAGUGCGCGUGGGCGGACGGAUGUUCGUGCUCCGCUGCAACGUGAGAUUGGAGCCUUUUAUGUUCCACAACGACAAAAGCAUGCGGCGGAUUCCAUCUCCAUCAUCCAUCGCUCCGGCACCGGCACCGGCACCAGCACCAGCGCCAGCUCCGGCAAGCAAGAGACAUGGAGUAAAACCUUGGGUAAUUGCCAUUUCGGUAGCUGCUCCUGUAGCGCUAGUUGCACUCUGCUUCAUCGUCUACCAUCGUCGGCGCCUUAGAACCAAGCACACAAAAGAUAAAGGGACAACCUUGCAAGGAAAGAGUACUCACGAGUUUCAUGAAAGAGAUGAACUAGUUUGGGAAAUGGAAACAGAGUUGGCUGAGUUUGCAGUAUUUGACUUUCAUCAGAUAUUAGAGGCUACAGUUAACUUUUCCGACGAAAACAAGCUCGGCCAAGGUGGAUUUGGCCCUGUUUACAAGGGCCACUUUCCUGAUGGAAAUGACAUAGCAGUGAAGAGACUUGAUUCACAUUCAGGACAAGGUUUCAUAGAGUUCAAAAAUGAAGUUGAGCUUAUAGCGAAACUUCAACAUAGAAAUUUGGUUAGGCUCAUGGGAUGUUGCUCUCAAGGAGAGGAGAAAAUACUGGUCUAUGAAUACUUGCCAAAUAAAAGCUUGGAUUUCUUCAUCUUUGAUGAAAAUAGAAAAACACUACUGGAUUGGGACAAACGUCUUGCAAUAAUUGUAGGAAUAGCAGAAGGACUUCUUUACCUACAUAAGCACUCUAGGUUGCGCGUUAUACAUCGAGAUCUUAAGCCAAGCAACAUUCUCUUGGAUAGCGAAAUGAAUGCAAAAAUUUCAGAUUUUGGACUAGCAAAAAUAUUCAGCUCAAAUAACACCGAAGCAAAUACUACAAGGAAAGUAGUUGGUACACUUGGCUACAUGGCACCCGAGUAUGCUUCCCACGGUCUCUUCUCUAUCAAAUCAGAUGUCUUCAGCUUCGGUGUUUUAACUCUUGAGAUCCUUAGCGGGAAAAGGAAUUCUCAUGAAUGUGGAAAUUUCAUCAACCUCCUCGGACAUGCUUGGCAAUUAUUUGAAGAGGAAAGCUGGGUCAAUCUCAUUGAUGCGGCAUUGCUUCCCAACGGUCAUUCGGAAGAAAUGAUGAGGUGCAUUAACAUUGCAUUGCUAUGUGUACAAGAGAAUGCAGUUGAUCGACCAACCAUGUUGGAUGUUGUCGCAAUGCUAAGCAACACGACCAUGAUAGUAGAUAAGCCUAAGCACCCGGCAUAUUUCACGGGGGAGAAAGAAGAACCCACUACAACUCGGUCGUGUAGUGUUAAUGAUGUGACUAUAUCUACAAUAACCCCUAGAUAG
rnacentral:rRNA from 1 species